rnacentral:rRNA from 1 species
GACGAACGCUGGCGGCGUGCUUAACACAUGCAAGUCGAACGGAAAGGCCUCUUUCGGGGGGUACUCGAGUGGCGAACGGGUGAGUAACACGUGAGUAACCUGCCCUUGACUUUGGGAUAACUUCAGGAAACUGGGGCUAAUACCGGAUAGGAGCUCCUGCUGCAUGGUGGGGGUUGGAAAGCUUCGGCGGUUGGGGGUGGACUCGCGGCGUAUCCGCGUGUUGGGGGGGUAGUGGCUUACCACGGCUUUGACGGGUAGCCGGCCUGAGUGGGUGACCGGCCACAUUGGGACUGAGAGACGGCCCAGACUCCUACGGGAGGCAGCAGUGGGGAAUAUUGCACAAUGGGUGGAAGCCUGAUGCAGCAACGCCGUGUGCGGGAUGACGGCCUUCGGGUUGUAAACCGCUUUCGCUCAUGACGAAGCUUUGUGUGACGGUAGUGGGUAAAGAAGCACCGGCUAACUACGUG